rnacentral:lncRNA from 10 species
CGGAGUAUGGCAGUGAUGGCCGGCUGAGGGAGGAGGCAGGGGUUGGCUAACACCAGAGGGAGGAUCACAGAACACUAGGCCAUCAUGUGAUGGUCCUUGGAAAAAAGGUUCUAGAGUCAAAUACUGUAUAUUUGAUUCAUGGAUUUCUCUUAUAAGGAGGAAUUCCUCUUACAAAGAUGUACAAUGAGAAGUCCUGAAUUAAGAAACCAAUGUAACUCAGUGCUUCCUAAAUUUAUCUUACUCCAAAACCCUUUUUUUCCAUGACAUGAAACUUGCCAAUAUCCUGGUAUUCCACAGAACACAUUUGGAGAACUCAGGUUAAUAUGGCAGCAGAAGCUUAG